GUGGGUGUAGCUCUGUGGUAGAGCAUGUGCCUAGCAUGCACGGGGUCCUGGGUUCAGUCCCCAGGACCUCCA
rnacentral:tRNA from 1 species